GACGAACGCUGGCGGCGUGCUUAACACAUGCAAGUCGAACGGAAAGGCCCUGCUUUUGUGGGGUGCUCGAGUGGCGAACGGGUGAGUAACACGUGAGUAACCUGCCCUUGACUUUGGGAUAACUUCAGGAAACUGGGGCUAAUACCGGAUAGGAGCUCCUGCUGCAUGGUGGGGGUUGGAAAGUUUCGGCGGUUGGGGAUGGACUCGCGGCUUAUCAGCUUGUUGGUGGGGUAGUGGCUUACCAAGGCUUUGACGGGUAGCCGGCCUGAGAGGGUGACCGGCCACCAUGGGACUGAGAUACGGCCCAGACUGCUACGGGAGGCAGCAGUGGGGAAUAUUGCACAAUGGGCGGAAGCCUGAUGCAGCAACGCCGCGUGCGGGAUGACGGCCUUCGGGUUGUAAACCGCUUUCGCCUGUGACGAAGCGUGUGUGACGGUAAUGGGUAAAGAAGCACCGGCUAACUACGUG
rnacentral:rRNA from 1 species